UCUACAGACGUCUGGGCCAGGGGGUUGGACGUCCCUCAGGUGUCCCUCAUCAUUAACUACGAUCUCCCCAAUAACAGAGAAUUAUACAUACACAGGUAGGGUGCAAGCGCUCAUUGGCUUCACUUCUGUGACACAUUUACUAAAUCUUGAUUGCUGUAUAUACUAACUGUAAUAUUGUUUUAUUCCUGAAGAAUUGGGAGAUCAGGUCGAUAUGGCCGGAAGGGUGUGGCCAUUAACUUUGUAAAGAAUGACGACAUCCGCAUCCUCAGAGAUAUCGAGCAGUACUAUUCCACUCAGAUUGAUGAGAUGCCUAUGAACGUUGCUGAUCUGAUCUGAAGCAGCAGCUCAAUGGGAUGAAUGGAGACUGCUCACCUGCUCUGUACUCCUGUUUGGAAGUAUUUAGAUCCAGCUUGUAUUUAAUGGGGUUUAUAUGGACUUUCUUCUCAUAAAUGGCCUCCCGUCUCCCUUCCUUUGAAGAGGAUAUGGGGAUUCUGCUUUCUUUUCUUAUUUACAUGUAAAUAAGACAUUGUUCUAAGUCUUUUUCAUUAAAAAUUUAAAACUUU
rnacentral:sRNA from 1 species